rnacentral:rRNA from 1 species
GACGAACGCUGGCGGCGUGCUUAACACAUGCAAGUCGAACGGAAAGGCCCUGCUUUUGUGGGGUGCUCGAGUGGCGAACGGGUGAGUAACACGUGAGUAACCUGCCCUUGACUUUGGGAUAACUUCAGGAAACUGGGGCUAAUACCGGAUAGGAGCUCCUGCUGCAUGGUGGGGGUUGGAAAGUUUCGGCGGUUGGGGAUGGACUCGCGGCUUAUCAGCUUGUUGGGGGGGUAGUGGCGUACCAAGGCUUCGACGGGUAGGCGGCCUGAGAGGGUUACCGGCCACAUUGGGACUGAGAUACGGCCCAGAAUCCUACCGGAGGCAGCAGUCGGGAAUAUUGCACAAUGGGCGGAAGCCUGAUGCAGCAACGCCGCGUGCGGGAUGACGGCCUUCGGGUUGUAAACCGCUUUCGCCUGUGCCGAAGCGUGAGUGACGGUAAUGGGUAAAGAAGCACCGGCUAACUACGUG